AUUGAACGCUGGCGGCAGGCCUAACACAUGCAAGUCGAGCGGAUGAAGGGAGCUUGCUCCUGGAUUCAGCGGCGGACGGGUGAGUAAUGCCUAGGAAUCUGCCUGGUAGUGGGGGAUAACGUCCGGAAACGGGCGCUAAUACCGCAUACGUCCUGAGGGAGAAAGUGGGGGAUCUUCGGACCUCACGCUAUCAGAUGAGCCUAGGUCGGAUUAGCUAGUUGGUGGGGUAAAGGCCUACCAAGGCGACGAUCCGUAACUGGUCUGAGAGGAUGAUCAGUCACACUGAAACUGAGACACGGUCCAGACUCCGACGGGAGGCAGCAGUGGGGAAUAUUGGAAAAUGGGCGAAAGCCUGAUCCAGCCAUGCCGCGUGUGUGAAGAAGGUCUUCGGAUUGUAAAGCACUUUAAGUUGGGAGGAAGGGCAGUAAGUUAAUACCUUGCUGUUUUGACGUUACCAACAGAAUAAGCACCGGCUAACUUCGG
rnacentral:rRNA from 1 species